GAUGAACGCUGGCGGCGUGCCUAACACAUGCAAGUCGAACGGAGUUGUCACCAUGAAGUUUUCGGAUGGAUUGGUAACAACUUAGUGGCGGACGGGUGAGUAACGCGUGGGUAACCUGCCUCAUACUGGGGGAUAACAGCUGGAAACGGCUGCUAAAACCGCAUAAGAUCGCAUCACCGCAUGGUGAAGCGGUUAAAUAUCGAAAGAUAGGUAUGAGAUGGGCCCGCGUCUGAUUAGCUAGUUGGUGAGAUAAGAGCCCACCAAGGCGACGAUCAGUAGCCGGCUUGAGAGAGUGACCGGCCACAUUGGGACUGAGACACGGCCCAAACUCCUACGGGAGGCAGCAGUGGGGAAUAUUGCACAAUGGGGGAAACCCUGAUGCAGCGACGCCGCGUGAGUGAAGAAGUGCUUCGGCAUGUAAAGCUCUAUCAGCAGGGAAGAAGAUGACGGUACCUGACUAAGAAGCCCCGGCUAACUACGUG
rnacentral:rRNA from 2 species